rnacentral:rRNA from 1 species
ACUCCUACGGGAGGCAGCAGUGGGAAUCUUGGACAAUGGGGGCAACCCUGAUCCAGCCAUGCCGCGUGAGUGAUGAAGGCCUUAGGGUCGUAAAGCUCUUUCGCCUGUGAAGAUAAUGACGGUAGCAGGUAAAGAAACCCGCGUACAUCCGUGCCAGCAGCCGCGGUAAUACGGAGGGGGUUAGCGUUGUUCGGAAUUACUGGGCGUAAAGCGCACGUAGGCGGAUCGGAAAGUUGGGGGUGAAAUCCCGGGGCUCAACCCC